GUGGUGGGACUCACAGCACAGCCACGGAGACAUGAAGCUCUGAAGGCUCCUCCCACUACGGGUCUGUGCUCGCCCUCACCCUUUGUCCUCCCCCACCCCACUAACCUGACCUACAAGAAUGUGAUUAGGGGCUGCAGGGCCGCCUGGAGGGUCAUUUUGAGCAUUGAGCAGAAGACCUACACCUUGGACAAGAAGUUGCAGCUGAUUAAGGACCAUCUGAAGAAAGUGGAGGCCAAGCUGAGAUCAUCUGUACCGUAUUCCUGGAAUUGUUGAAUAAAUACUUAACAGCCAAUACAACUAAUCCAGAGAGUAAGGUCUUCUUUCUGAAAAUGAAGGGUGAUUACUUCCGGUACCUUGCUGAAGUUGCAUGUGGUGACGAUCAAAAAUAAACGAUAGGUAAUUCCCAAGGAGCUUAGCAAGAAACAUUUGAUAUGCGCAAGAUAGAUGCAACCCCACACCCAAUCCGCCUGGGGCUUCCUCUUAACUUCUCUGUAUUUUACUGUGAGAUUCUUAAUAACCCAGAGCUUGCCUUCACGCUGGCUAAAACGGCUUUUGAUGAGGCCAUUGCUGAACUUGAUACACUGAAUGAAGACUCCUACAAAGACAACACCCUCAUCAUGCAGUUGCUUAGAGACAACCUAACACUUUGGACAUCAGACAGUGCAGGAGAAGAAUGUGAUGCAGCAGAAGGAGCUGAAAACUAAAUCCAUACAGGGUGUCAUCCUUCUUUCCUUCAAGAAACCUUUUUACACAUCUCCAUUCCUUAUUCCACUUGGAUUUCCUAUAGCAAAGAAACCAUUCAUGUGUAUGGAAUCAACGGUUUAUAGUCUUUUCACACUGCAGCUUUGGGAAAACUUCAUUCCUUGAUUUGUGUUUGUAUUGGCCUUCCUGGUGUACAGUUACUGCUGUAGAAAAGUAUUAAUAGCUUCAUUUCAUAUAAAUCUGGUAUUUAAGUAAUCUGAACCAGUUCAGCAAGGGACUGUGUUUUGUAUUAUGGUGAAGAUAUGAAAAUGUAGUUAAUUACACUUUGAAGAGUGUUCCACAUAACUUCUUAAUUUCUACAUUCUCUCCCCUACUCUUCAGGGGUUUCCUUUAGAUAAGCUGCUUUUCCAUGCUCUUAAUAUAUUCCUUUUUAGUAGGAAUCUAGAAGUAUUAGAUUGAAUGGAAAAGCACUUGCCAUCUCUGGCUAGGAGUCACAAAUUGAAAUGCCUCCUAUAUCACAUAAGGAGGUCAUGUAAAUCUGUGUCAACAGGGAGUUUCCUUAUUCACUCUUUAUUUGCUGCUGUUUAACCUUCAUUCCCAAUAAAAAUUCACGUAUACCUCCUGUCUUUGUAAGUUCUGAUAUUCACUUUACUGUGUAAAUAGAAGUAGCAUGUUGCUACCAGAAUACAAGCAUGGCUUUUGGCAAAUUAAAGUACAUGUCAUUUCUUAAUACACUAGAAAGGGGAAAUAAAUUAAAAUACACAAGUCCAAGUUAAAACUUUAGUACUUUUUCAUGCAGAUUUAUGCACAUGUGAGAGGGUGUCCAGUUCGUCUAGUGAUUGUUAUUUAGAGAGUUGGACCACUAUCGUGUGUUGCUAAUCAUCGACCGUAGUCCCAAAAAAGCCUUGUGAAAAUGUUAUGCCCUAUGUAACAGCAGAGUAACAUUAAAAAAAUUACAUUUUAUAAACCAAAAAA